rfam:Brachypodium distachyon strain Bd21 chromosome 2, whole genome shotgun sequence.
UUUAUACUUCCUCCGUCUAACAAAAAAUGUCUCAACUUUAAUCAAAUCUGAAUGCAUCUAUACACUAAGUCAUGUCUAGAUACAUCUAAAUUUUGACAAAUUUGAGACAUCUUUUGUUGACAGAGGGAGUACUAA